rnacentral:rRNA from 1 species
CUCCGGUUGAUCCUGCCGGACCCGACUGCUAUCAGAGUGGGACUAAGCCAUGCGAGUCAACAUAGCAAUAUGUGGCAUACGGCUCAGUAACACGUAGUCAACAUGCCCAGGGGACGUGGAUAACCUCGGGAAACUGAGGAUAAACCGCGAUAAGUCACUACUUCUGGAAUGGGUAAUGACUCAAAUCUACAUGGCCCCUGGAUUGGACUGCGGCCGAUCAGGCUGUUGGUGAGGUAAUGGCCCACCAAACCUGUAACCGGUACGGGCUCUGAGAGGAGGAGCCCGGAGAUGGGCACUGAGACAAGGGCCCAGGCCCUAUGGGGCGCAGCAGGCGCGAAACCUCUGCAAUAGGCGAAAGCCUGACAGGGUUACUCUGAGUGAUUUCCGUUAAGGAGAUCUUUUGGCACCUCUAAAAAUGGUGCAGAAUAAGGGGUGGGCAAGUCUGGUGUCAGCCGCCGCGGUAAUACCAGCACCCCGAGUGGUCGGGACGUUUAUUGGGCCUAAAGCAUCCGUAGCCGGUUCUACAAGUCUUCCGUUAAAUCCACCUGCUUAACAGAUGGGCUGCGGAAGAUACUAUAGAGCUAGGAGGCGGGAGAGGCAAGCGGUAUUCGAUGGGUAGGGGUAAAAUCCGUUGAUCCAUUGAAGACCACCAGUGGCGAAGGCGGCUUGCCAGAACGCGCUCGACGGUGAGGGAUGAAAGCUGGGGGAGCAAACCGGAUUAGAUACCCGGGUAGUCCCAGCUGUAAACGAUGCAGACUCGGUGAUGAGUUGGCUUCUUGCCAACUCAGUGCCGCAGGGAAGCCGUUAAGUUUGCCGCCUGGGGAGUACGGUCGCAAGACUGAAACUUAAAGGAAAUUGGCGGGGGAGCA